CUUUCAACAUCUGUAUGUGCACACACACACACCCCACUAGGAAAAGAAUGAAAAUAAGAAUUAAGGUCAAACCAAACACCCUUACUUGCCAUAGGCCAGACUAGGCAAUACAACAAUCAUGCUUGCUGCCCUAGUCUUCUGGAAGCUAAGAAAGGUGUAUUGUGACAUCAAGACUACACUGAGACUGUCUCACAAAAGGGAGUGGACUAGAGAGAUGACCCAGUGGUUAAAGCGCACCAGACUAUUUCAGAGAAACUGAGUUCAGUUCCUAUUACCCACACUUGGUAGCUCACAACCACCUGCACUUCCAGCACUAGAGGAUCCAACAUGUUCCAGCUUCUUUGUACCUCUGCAGUCCUGUGGACAUACCUCUUCUUCACUCACACCACACAUAUAUGGAGUUGUGGUGACUGAAAAUGAUUCCUGGGAAGGUGGAACACGGCAGAACUCAGACACUGAAAGAAAAGAACAAGGAAGAGGAGGAAGGAGAAGAGAAGUGAGGAUGAUUAAAUAAGCUU